AGUAUGUAUCAUCCCCUCUACUCUAUUGAAGCCGUUCUGCGGUCGGUACCCUCUCUGACAAGAGCUCAGUUCUGGCUUCCCUUAAGGAAGGGUGGAGGAGGAAAUGGGACUAGAGAGGCAGAUCCAUGGCCACCAAGCUGUUAAGCGGCAAAACUGGGGAUUCGAAUCCUGGUGUCUCAGAGAUGAAGCACUUCCCAACUAAGCCAGGGGCCCAUGACUGUAGUCACCUAACUACCUGGGAAUCUUUAAGAAACACCAAAGCCGCCGGGCGCGGUGGCUCACGCCUGUAAUCCCAGCACUUUGGGAGGCCAAGGCAGGCAGAUCACGAGGUCAGGAGAUCGAGACCAUGCUGGCUAACACGGUGAAACCCGUCUCUACUAAAAAUACAAAAAAUUAGCCAGGCGUGGUGGCGGGCGCCUGUAGUCUCAGCUACUCAGGAGGCUGAGGCAGGAGAAUGGCGUGAACCCAGGAGGCGGACGGAGCUUGCUGUGAGCCGAGAUUGUGCCACUGCACUCCAGCCUGGGGAACAGAGCGAGACUCUGUCUCAAAACAAAAAACAAACAAACAAACA
ensembl:lncRNA LINC01840 long intergenic non-protein coding RNA 1840